UAGAACCCAAGGUUUUAUGUGGUUGA
rnacentral:piRNA from 1 species